GGGUUGUGAGGUUAAGCGACUAAGCGUACACGGUGGAUGCCCUGGCAGUCAGAGGCGAUGAAGGACGUGCUAAUCUGCGAUAAGCGUCGGUAAGGUGAUAUGAACCGUUAUAACCGGCGAUUUCCGAAUGGGGAAACCCAGUGUGAUUCGUCACACUAUCAUUAACUGAAUCCAUAGGUUAAUGAGGCGAACCGGGGGAACUGAAACAUCUAAGUACCCCGAGGAAAAGAAAUCAACCGAGAUUCCCCCAGUAGCGGCGAGCGAACGGGGAGCAGCCCAGAGCCUGAAUCAGUGUGUGUGUUAGUGGAAGCGUCUGGAAAGGCGUGCGAUACAGGGUGACAGCCCCGUACACAAAAAUGCACAUACUGUGAGCUCGAUGAGUAGGGCGGGACACGUGGUAUCCUGUCUGAAUAUGGGGGGACCAUCCUCCAAGGCUAAAUACUCCUGACUGACCGAUAGUGAACCAGUACCGUGAGGGAAAGGCGAAAAGAACCCCGGCGAGGGGAGUGAAAAAGAACCUGAAACCGUGUACGUACAAGCAGUGGGAGCACGCUUAGGCGUGUGACUGCGUACCUUUUGUAUAAUGGGUCAGCGACUUAUAUUCUGUAGCAAGGUUAACCGAAUAGGGGAGCCGAAGGGAAACCGAGUCUUAACUGGGCGUUAAGUUGCAGGGUAUAGACCCGAAACCCGGUGAUCUAGCCAUGGGCAGGUUGAAGGUUGGGUAACACUAACUGGAGGACCGAACCGACUAAUGUUGAAAAAUUAGCGGAUGACUUGUGGCUGGGGGUGAAAGGCCAAUCAAACCGGGAGAUAGCUGGUUCUCCCCGAAAGCUAUUUAGGUAGCGCCUCGUGAAUUCAUCUCCGGGGGUAGAGCACUGUUUCGGCAAGGGGGUCAUCCCGACUUACCAACCCGAUGCAAACUGCGAAUACCGGAGAAUGUUAUUACGGGAGACACACGGCGGGUGCUAACGUCCGUCGUGAAGAGGGAAACAACCCAGACCGCCAGCUAAGGUCCCAAAGUCAUGGUUAAGUGGGAAACGAUGUGGGAAGGCCCAGACAGCCAGGAUGUUGGCUUAGAAGCAGCCAUCAUUUAAAGAAAGCGUAAUAGCUCACUGGUCGAGUCGGCCUGCGCGGAAGAUGUAACGGG
rnacentral:rRNA from 1 species